GAAAAAUGCUGGCUUUUGAGGCAAUGGCAUAGUUACCGAGUAACUGCUUAGCAUGAGAACUACGGUUUGCAUUGUAGGUCUCUUCUCUGGAUCUUCUUGGACACACAGUAAAGCAAUAUGGAUACAUCUGAUUACUUCAUUUCUUGAAUAAGAACGUCUUAGAUUUCGAUCCAGCAACUCUUCUGGCGUCCCAUCCCUCCAAUGGUUCCAAGCCUAGAAUUUUUUCAUUUCAUGAAUCCAUUAGAAUGUAAGAAACUUGCAAUCUUGAAAAAAUUAUUUACUUGCUCAGAUAUCUGAAUUCAACUUAUACUCACAUAGGUCAAGAGGUAUUCGCCACGUUCGGAUUGAAAGCUAGUGUUCUUCUCGCUGGUUACAAUCUCUAAGAUCAAGACACCAAGACUGUACACAUCAGAUUUCACCGAGAACUGUCCGUGCAUUACGU
rnacentral:lncRNA from 1 species